UACGAAGGGGGCGAGCGUUGUUCGGAUUUACUGGGCGUAAAGGGCGCGCAGGCGGCGAGUUUUGUCAGGCGUGAAAGCCCCGGGCUCAACCUGGGAAUUGCGCUUGAAACGGGCUGCUAGAGAUCGGGAGAGGAGAGUGGAAUUCCCAGUGUAGAGGUGAAAUUCGUAGAUAUUGGGAAGAACACGGUGGCGAAGGCGGCUCUCUGGACCGAUACUGACGCUGAGGCGCGAAAGCGUGGGGAGCAAAACAGG
rnacentral:rRNA from 1 species